UACAGAGGGGGCAAGCGUUGUUCGGAAUUACUGGGCGUAAAGGGCGCGUAGGCGCCUUCUAAGUCGAACGUGAAAUCCCUGGGCUCAACCCAGGAACUGCGUCCGAUACUGGAAGGCUUGAACGUCGGGAGAGGGAUGCGGAAUUCCAGGUGUAGCGGUGAAAUGCGUAGAUAUCUGGAGGAACACCGGUGGCGAAGGCGGCAUCCUGGACCGGUAUUGACGCUGAGGCGCGAAAGCCAGGGGAGCAAACGGG
rnacentral:rRNA from 1 species